rnacentral:misc_RNA from 1 species
UCCUGGUUAACCCAGGCAGUCUCACUAGAGUCCCCACCUUCCGUGUUGGCAACUAAUGAUAAGGGUUGCGCUCGUUGCGGGACUUAACCCAACACCUCACGGCACGAGCUGACGACAGCCAUGCAGCACCUAUGCAAAUGUCCUUGCGGAUCUCUAUAUCUCUAUAGUCAUCAUCUGCACUUCAAGCCCAGGUAAGGUUCUUCGCGUUGCAUCGAAUUAAACCACAUGCUCCACUGCUUGUGCGGGCCCCCGUCAAUUCUUUUGAGUUUCACCCUUGCGAGCGUACUCCUCAGGCGGUGUACUUAUCGCGUUAGCUUCGACACAGCCAGGGUUGAGCCCAACUACAUCAAGUACACAUCGUUUACGGCAAGGACUAC